rnacentral:lncRNA from 1 species
CUGACAUUCAGCUUAAAUAUGCCGGUGUGUGAUUUAAUCCACAGGUACCUGAUGAACACAUUAUUGUCAGAUUGGUUGCAGGUGCUAAAGGCUAGCUGAAGAUCAUUCCUAGUCAUUUAUAUUUAUCAGGGUAAAAGUGAAGUGAUUUGAACUAUAAAAAUACCUUUGAAAUAAUUUAUCAAUGUAUUAGGUAAACCCAGUUUCAGAAUUAUAAAGAAAAACUGUUAGACCAAAUAAGGUGGCUAAUUAACAGUGGUAUGAUUUCUAGCCCGAGGGUCUAAAUUGGACUCAAACUGUCUUUAAACUGAACUCAAAGAAUGCAAAAGUGGCAAGUUCAGAAAAUAAAAGGCAAGAACAGGACUUGAAGUCCAUUUUAAACCCUCGGGCUAGAAAUCGUCCUACUGUUAAUUAGCCACAUUCGUUGGUCUAACAGUUUUUCUUUAUAAUUCUGGAACUGAGUUUAUCUAAUACAUUGAUAAAUUCAUACAAUUUGGAAGAGUCAGUUGAAGUCACAAGGACUUAAUAUUUGCACUCUUUCACUGA